CCCAGACUCCUACGGGAGGCAGCAGUGGGGGAUAUUGCACAAUGGGGGGAACCCUGAUGCAGCGACGCCGCGUGGGUGAAGGAGCGUUUCGGCGCGUAAAGCCCUAUCGGCAGGGAAGAAGGAGGACGGUACCUGACUAAGAAGCCCCGGCUAACUACGUGCCAGCAGCCGCGGUAAUACGUAGGGGGCAAGCGUUAUCCGGAUUUACUGGGUGUAAAGGGGGCGCAGACGGCAGCGCAAGCCAGGAGUGAAAGCCCGGGGCCCAACCCCGGGACUGCUCUUGGAACUGCGCGGCUGGAGUGCAGGAGGGGCAGGCGGAAUUCCUGGUGUAGCGGUGAAAUGCGUAGAUAUUAGGAGGAACACCAGUGGCGAAGGCGGCCUGCUGGACGACAACUGACGGUGAGGCGCGAAAGCGUGGGGAGCAAACAGGAUUAGAUACCCCUGUA
rnacentral:rRNA from 1 species